rnacentral:rRNA from 1 species
AUACGUAGGGAGCGAGCGUUGUCCGGAAUUACUGGGUGUAAAGGGUGCGUAGGCGGAUCUACAAGUCAGUAGUGAAAACCAUGGGCUUAACCCAUGACGUGCUAUUGAAACUGCGGAUCUUGAGUGAAGUAGAGGCAGGGGGAAUUCCCCGGGUAGCGGGGAAAUGCGUAGAGAUCGGGAGGAACACCAGUGGCGAAGGCGGCCUGCUGGGCUUUAACUGACGCUGAGGCACGAAAGUGUGGGUAGCAAACAGGAUUAGAUACCCUGGUAGUCCACACUGUAAACGAUGAUUACUAGGUGUGGGGGGUCUGACCCCCUCCGUGCCGCAGUUAACACAAUAAGUAAUCCACCUGGGGAGUACGGCCGCAAGGUUGAAACUCAAAGGAAUUGACGGGG